GCAUAUCAAUAAGCGGAGGAAAAGAAAAUAACAAUGAUUCCCUCAGUAACGGCGAGUGAACAGGGAAAAGCUCAAAGUUGGAACCUCCUAGCCCUAGGCUCGGCGGAUUGUAAACUAAAGCUGUUGAGUAGUUCGGUUAGCCUGGUAAAAAAGUUCUCUGGAAAGGGACGACAUGGAGGGUGAAAUCCCCGUCUUUGGCCAGAGCAUAAUCCUACGUUUGCUCGAUAGCGAAGAGUCAGGUUGUUUGGUAAUGCAGCUAAAUGGGAGGUAAAUCUCUCCUAAAGCUAAAUAUUGACGAAAGACCGAUAGCGAACAAGUACCGUGAGGGAAAGAUGAAAAGCACUUUGAAAAGAGGGUCAAAAAGUACGUGAAAUUGCUGAAAGGGAACCGUAUGAAAUCAGCCUGAUCUUUUGGUAAUCAACCUGGGCUUUGGCCUGGGUGCACUUGCCGAUGGAUUAGCCUACGACAAUUCGGUCUCAAGGAAAAAAUUAGGGGGAAUGUGGCCUACGUUUCGGCGGAGGUGUUAUAGCCCUUUGAAAAAUACUUGGGACUGGAUUGAGGCAUGCAGCGAGCCUUUAUUGGUAUUGGGUCUCGGGUGCUUUGUGUUAACUGGGCGGAAAUCUCUACUUUAAGGUAGUGUUCGUCUUUUUGGCAUUAACUCGCCUGUUUCUUCUUAUUUCUCGCUUAGGUCGUAGGCAUAAUGAUUUUAUAUGACCCGUCUUGAAACACGGACCAAGGAGUCCACCAUUGUUGCGAGUCUUUGGGUGUAAAAACCCAUGGGCGGAAGGAAACUGACCAAGAUAUGAAGGCCUUAAAGGCUGGCAAUAUCCUCCGGCGAGGACGUUUUAUACUGAAUUGACCGAGAGAAAGCAAUAAUGAUGGGACCCGAAAGAUGGUGAACUAUACUUGAAUAGGGUGAAGCCAGAGGAAACUCUGGUGGAAGCUCGUAGCGAUUCUGACGUGCAAAUCGAUCGUCAAAUUUGAGUAUAGGGGCGAAAGACUAAUCGAACCAU
rnacentral:rRNA from 1 species